rnacentral:rRNA from 1 species
GUAUAGCUAAUCUGCCCUACACUAGAGGACAACAGUUGGAAACGGCUGCUAAUACUCUAUACUCCUGUCUUACAUAAGUUAGAUAGGGAAAGUUUUUCGGUGUAGGAUGAGGCUAUAUUGUAUCAGCUAGUUGGUGAGGUAAUGGCUCACCAAGGCUAUGACGCAUAACUGGUCUGAGAGGAUGAUCAGUCACACUGGAACUGAGACACGGUCCAGACUCCUACGGGAGGCAGCAGUAGGGAAUAUUGCUCAAUGGGGGAAACCCUGAAGCAGCAACGCCGCGUGGAGGAUGACACUUUUCGGAGCGUAAACUCCUUUUGUUAGGGAAGAACAAUGACGGUACCUAACGAAUAAGCACCGGCUAACUCCGUGCCAGCAGCCGCGGUAAUACGGAGGGUGCAAGCGUUACUCGGAAUCACUGGGCGUAAAGGACGCGUAGGCGGAUUAUCAAGUCUCUUGUGAAAUCCUAUGGCUUAACCAUAGAACUGCUUGGGAAACUGGUAAUCUAGAGUGAGGGAGAGGCAGAUGGAAUUGGUGGUGUAGGGGUAAAAUCCGUAGAGAUCACCAGGAAUACCCAUUGCGAAGGCGAUCUGCUGGAACUCAACUGACGCUAAUGCGUGAAAGCGUGGGGAGCAAACAGGAUUAGAUACCCUGGUAGUCCACGCCCUAAACGAUGUAUACUAGUUGUUGCUAAGCUAGUCUUGGCAGUAAUGCACCUAACGGAUUAAGUAUACCGCCUGGGGAGUACGGUCGCAAGAUUAAAACUCAAAGGAAUAGACGGGGACCCGCACAAGCGGUGGAGCAUGUGGUUUAAUUCGAAGAUACGCG